AGAGAAAAGGCGAGUGCGAGAGAAGAAAAGGCGAAAAGCGUAUCAAGAGAGCGAGGCUUCAAGUUAGAAAGAAGUAAAAGGAGAAGGUAUAAUGGAAUUGAAGCCGAUCCUAAAUUGCGCGCGUAUUGUCUCAGUAUUUCGAGAAACAGACCAAGUGCAUCUGAAUAUAAAGAGCAACUGUUCCGGAGAGAGCCACUUGGACGGAGAGUUAUUCUGAUCAAUGCUAAAGUGGAGGGGAGCUGGUCAAACGAGCAGAAGAAGGGUCUGAAUGAUGCGGCUGAGGUAACAUCACAUACAUCAGAGCUAAUUCUAGAGCAGCCGCAGGAGUAGCUGAUGCAAGAGCAGUCAAAGAAGCUCCCUUGAUGUGUUUGUGUGCCUUUAUGGAGAUGUUUGAAGUGUUCUUAGAAUUGUAUAAAGAGAGAAGACUGUACAGGGGAUACUUCUUACAAUAGGCAAGAAGAAAAAGAAAAGAUCAAAGAUUACAGGAUUACAUAUUGUAGAAAGAUAAGGUCCCAAUUAAACAUGAUACUACUGAAGACUCCACUUAUGCUGGGGUUUUAAGAGUGCAGUCCAAGAGAAAAUGAGAGUCCUAGCAUUCUGACAUAAUAGAUCUUAAUUCCUAGGUUUUCUCCAACUUGUAACAUUAGAUUGAGCUAGCAAGAGAAUGCCAAAGCCUCUCGCUGAUAUAUUUUGUCUCAUUUGAGUGACAAGAACUAAUCAACCUAAUGGAUUUAUUUAGUUUUCGUUGCACAUGGUGUUCCAUCAUCUUUUAAGCCAUUUUUGGUAAUAGUUGGAGUUGCUGGAAAAUUUAUACCUGCUGUAUAAUUAACGCCACAUCAUUUAUCCAUUCAAAUCGUGCUUUUGGUAGUUGAUACCUGCUGUAUAAGCUAUCCAGACCAUGAUAUUUGCAAAUUGGCAUGCUUUGUAGCGGGUAUGGAAUUCCAUCCUUUGUCAUGCGAGCUGCACACCCAUAUGUGCUGGUAGAUCAUUUUGAAGAUGUCGCUCCUACAUUUUGAAUCCCCCCUUGAUGUUCCUGCCGAACUCAACCUAUUAACGACGGUCGUGGAACCAAACCGUGUUUGGGCAUAUGACACGAAGGAAAGCGAGAAAAGAAUAAAUGCUAGCACCAGAGCGUGUGACUGUGUGAGAGUAAUGACAAAUUUACAAGAGAAGCUCAGGUUUCCUUCUCAGAGACGCCAAAGAGAAGACUGAGAAAAAUUAUGAGAUCCAAAUAGAUACAGCAGGAUAUUAUUAGCAGUGAGAUUGAUGAAAUCUGUAAACAUCGAAAUGGGAAUUUAUUAAGAAUUAUUGGUACUUGUUCAAUUGUGGCCGAGAAUGGAUCUGCUUGUAAGUCUACGAACUCUAGAUCUCAAAAUUGAAGAUCACCUAGUUGUUCAAUUAGAUAUUCUAGGGAAAUUGAUCAAGUGCAAGGAGUUCUUUUCCAGAAAGCUGCUUACAGGAAUUUAGAUACCCUCAACACGAGAUGGGAUUUAAGCUGCAAAAGGUACAUUACUUAUAUCAGUCUGCUCUAUAUGUUUCGAGAAACUAGAUAUUACUGAAGUGAAGUUUUUGCUUGAUACAUAUCGUGGUUAGUUACAUUAUUAGUUUACAUUGUUGAAAUGAAUUUAUACAUGUUGGAUGAAACGAAGCAAAAGAAUUUGUCUCUCUCAGCAGUAGAACAGAUUAUCAUUCUCUCUUAAAACGCUCAAUUCUUCCACUUCUGAUCCAUCAGUCAUUAUAAUCUUGCUCCCUGUUUUACCGAAUUUUGUCUCUGCAUCCAUUAAAUAAGGUUAAUACUUUAGUUAAAUACCCUAUCCGCCUGACAUACCACAGUUUCAUGCAUAUGAUAUGUUAAGGACAUCUAUUCAUGCAUAUGAUAUGUUAAGGACAUCUAUAGGUGCAUCUUUCAUUUGUAAGUACCUAAAUGAUCAUUUUUACUUCGAAUGUAAUUUAUAUAACUUGCAUUUCAUCUUAGUGUUUAAUUUUGUGGUGCUUGUGUGUGUAAUUCAUCUAUCGACUAUCAGCCUAAAGUCUUGACUUUAUUCAGUUAAACAGUACUGCAAGAUUCUGAAUCCCUUACAGGAAAUGUGUGUUAUUUGAGGUAAUGUUAGUUAAACCUAGAUAACAAAUUGAGUUUAUUUGCAAAACUGGAAGUUAGAAAAAAAAAUUCAAUCCGCAAUACCUGCCAAUUGCAAAAGCUCUUCCAUUGAUCCUGGCAAAUGGAUAAGUUUUCCAGGCUUGUUGCUUUCUGUUGUAUUUAUUUCAUCUGGAUGAUGCCCGUGGAUUAUCAACCUCAUGAGGGCACGUGUAGUAGGACUUGCAGGAACUCCUGCAUAUUUUUACCAUAAUUCGUAAAUGUUUGGAAGUAUAUAUGUGGAGGUAUAUGUGGAGCUUAGCUUUCUCUCUGAACAUUAGAAAUCAGAUGGCGUAAAAUGAAAUGAAAACUUCAUUAAUAAACAUUAUAUGGCAAACUUUAGCUUGACAAGCUAGUAUACAUGAACUCCUUUAACAAUUGAUAGUAGUUGAAGAGACUGAGCUAUCUAGGUGUCUUUGGCCUGUGGUUCCAUCCAUUGUAUAUAUGAUGCUACCUAAUGUCCCAAUACUUGGUUUUCCCUUGGAUUGGCUAGACCAAUUUUUUUUUUUGAAUUGCAAGAUUUUUCAAUUUAGAUAUAGAUGAUUUGACAUAAUAAUAAAUGAUAACUUGAUAAGUAUA